rnacentral:rRNA from 1 species
GGGAGCUACACAUGCAGUCGAGCGAGAACUUCGGUUCUAGCGGCGGACGGGUUAGUAACGCGUGGGAACGUGCCCUUCACUACGGAAUAGUCCCGGGAAACUGGGUUUAAUACCGUAUACGCCCUUCGGGGGAAAGAAUUUCGGUGAAGGAUCGGCCCGCGUUAGAUUAGAUAGUUGGUGGGGUAACGGCCUACCAAGUCUACGAUCUAUAGCUGGUUUUAGAGGAUGAUCAGCAACACUGGGACUGAGACACGGCCCAGACUCCUACGGGAGGCAGCAGUGGGGAAUCUUAGACAAUGGGCGCAAGCCUGAUCUAGCCAUGCCGCGUGAGUGAUGAAGGCCUUAGGGUCGUAAAGCUCUUUCGCCAGGGAUGAUAAUGACAGUACCUGGUAAAGAAACCCCGGCUAACUCCGUGCCAGCAGCCGCGGUAAUACGGAGGGGGUUAGCGUUGUUCGGAAUUACUGGGCGUAAAGCGCGCGUAGGCGGAUUGGAAAGUUGGGGGUGAAAUCCCAGGGCUCAACCCUGGAACUGCCUCCAAAACUAUCAGUCUAGAGUUCGAGAGAGGUGAGUGGAACUCCGAGUGUAGAGGUGAAAUUCGUAGAUAUUCGGAAGAACACCAGUGGCGAAGGCGGCUCACUGGCUCGAUACUGACGCUGAGGUGCGAAAGUGUGGGGAGCAAACAGGAUUAGAUACCCUGGUAGUCCACACCG